rnacentral:rRNA from 1 species
GACGAACGCUGGCGGCGUGCUUAACACAUGCAAGUCGAACGAAGUGGCGAACGGGUGAGUAACGCGUAAUCAACCUGCCCUUCAGGGGGGGACAACAGUUGGAAACGACUGCUAAUACCGCAUACUGAAGGAGGGGAUUGCGUCUGAUUGGCUAGCUGGGGGGGCAACGGCCCACCAAGGCGAUGAUCAGUAGCCGGGCGUGGAGGGUGAACGGCCACAUUGGGACUGGAACACGGGCCAGACUCCUACGGGGGGCAGCAGUGGGGGAUCUUCCGCAAUGGACGGAAGUCUGACGGAGCAACGCCGCGUGGGUGGUGAAGGCCUUCGGGUUGUAAAGCUCUUUUAAUCGGGACGCGGUACCGGAAUAGAAAGCCACGGCUAACUACGUGCCAGCAGCCGCGGUAAUUC